rnacentral:rRNA from 1 species
UACGAAGGGGGCUAGCGUUGUUCGGAAUUACUGGGCGUAAAGCGCACGUAGGCGGCUUUUUAAGUCGGUGGUGAAAUCCUGGAGCUCAACUCCAGAACUGCCUUCGAAACUGAAAAGCUUGAGUCCGGGAGAGGUGAGUGGAACUGCGAGUGUAGAGGUGAAAUUCGUAGAUAUUCGCAAGAACACCAGUGGCGAAGGCGGCUCACUGGCCCGGUACUGACGCUGAGGAACGAAAGCUAGGGGAGCAAACAGG